rnacentral:snoRNA from 1 species
AACAACUGAGUGUGUUUCUCAUGAAUCUCUAAGCAAGAUUGUUGAUUCAUCCAUUCAUGGUCUUCAAAGUUAUUUGAUUGUU